CUACAAACCCGAACUAUCGUCCCGAAUUUAUUCGGGAAGGAAAGUCCGGACAGCAUAGAGCAACCUACCGGCGAAUAACCGGUCUCGUUUCAAACGAGAAGAUAGUGCCACAGAAAAUAACUUCAUGCUUCGGCAUGACACAGGUGAAAAUGUGAGGUAAGAGCUCACAGCUGUUGCUGGUAACAAUAACAGCGGGUAAACCUUGGGUGCUGUAAUGCCACGUAUAGAGCCGUUUUAAGAGCUGCUCGUUCAAGGCUCAGGGUAGGCAGCAACAGGUAAACAGUAAUGUUUAUCGCAGAUAAAUGAUAGUUUAGAAACAGAAUCCGGCUUAUGAGGUUUGUAGUUUU
rnacentral:RNase_P_RNA from 1 species